GACGAACCGUGCGAACGUUGUUCGGAAUCACUGGGCUUAAAGGGCGCGUAGGCGGCUUAUCAAGUCAGGGGUGAAAUCUUGCGGCUCAACCGUAAUAAGCCUUUGAUACUGAUAGGCUCGAGGGAGGUAGGGGCAUGUGGAACUUCUGGUGGAGCGGUGAAAUGCGUUGAUAUCAGAAGGAACGCCGGUGGCGAAAGCGACGUGCUGGAUCUCUUCUGACGCUGAGGCGCGAAAGCUAGGGUAGCGAACGGG
rnacentral:rRNA from 1 species